UAUCGAGCAAAUUGGGGAAGACGGAGAGAAACAUCUUCCUCCAGAUUGAUGUCAGCCUCGAUCGUUCUAAAUAUGAAACUGAGACGUUCCUUAUCAGCUUUCUCCUUCUCACUAAGUGUCCGGUGGUGAGGAAGAUGAUCUCGACCUUCUAGAUGACGGACGCGUGCAGAAGAAGAAAGAGCAGACUGAUUGAUGAAGAGCAAGAGGAUCAUGAUGAUGAUGAAGCUGGUCCUACAAGUAUUCACCAUUGUCGAAGAGAGCAGCUGAGAGGCUUUUAGGGUUUUUGUUUUGCCUUGUUGUGAAAAAGUUUGAUUUUGUUUGUUAAAACAAGGUGUGGGUUGUUCAUAUAUAUAGAUGAUCAUAGGCGGCCUAAAAAAAUAUAUCCUAUUUUGAUAGAUUUCUUCUCCUAUUUAGCUUUGGAAA